rnacentral:snRNA from 1 species
GAAUUACCACUAAAGUAUGGA